GACGAACGCUGGCGGCGUGCUUAACACAUGCAAGUCGAACGGAAAGGCCCUGCUUUUGUGGGGUGCUCGAGUGGCGAACGGGUGAGUAACACGUGAGUAACCUGCCCUUGACUUUGGGAUAACUUCAGGAAACUGGGGCUAAUACCGGAUAGGAGCUCCUGCUGCAUGGUGGGGGUUGGAAAGUUUCGGCGGUUGGGGAUGGACUCGCGGCUUAUCAGCUUGUUGGUGGGGUAGUGGCUUACCAAGGCUUUGACGGGUAGCCGGCCUGAGAGGGUGACCGGCCACAUUGGGACUGAGAUACGGCCCAGACUCCUACGGGAGGCAGCAGUGGGGAAUAUUGCACAAUGGGCGGAAGCCUGAUGCAGCAACGCCGCGUGCGGGAUGACGGCCUUCGGGUUGUAAACCGCUUUCGCCUGUGACGAAGCGUGAGUGACGGUAAUGGGUAAAGAAGCACCGGCUAACUACGUGCCAGCAGCCGCGGUGAUACGUAGGGUGCGAGCGUUGUCCGGAUUUAUUGGGCGUAAAGGGCUCGUAGGUGGUUGAUCGCGUCGGAAGUGUAAUCUUGGGGCUUAACCCUGAGCGUGCUUUCGAUACGGGUUGACUUGAGGAAAGGUAGGGGAGAAUGGAAUUCCUGGUGGAGCGGUGGAAUGCGCAGAUAUCAGGAGGAACACCAGUGGCGAAGGCGGUUCUCUGGGCCUUUCCUGACGCUGAGGAGCGAAAGCGUGGGGAGCGAACAGGCUUAGAUACCCUGGUAGUCCACGCUGUAAACGGUGGGUACUAGGUGUGGGGUCCGUUCCACGGGUUCCGUGCCGUAGCUAACGCUUUAAGUACCCCGCCUGGGGAGUACGGCCGCAAGGCUAAAACUCAAAGGAAUUGACGGGGCCCCGCACAAGCGGCGGAGCAUGCGGAUUAAUUCGAUGCAACGCGUAGAACCUUACCUGGGUUUGACAUGGAUCGGGAGUGCUCAGAGAUGGGUGUGCCUCUUUUGGGGUCGGUUCACAGGUGGUGCAUGGCUGUCGUCAGCUCGUGUCGUGAGAUGUUGGGUUAAGUCCCGCAACGAGCGCAACCCUUGUUCACUGUUGCCAGCACGUUAUGGUGGGGACUCAGUGGAGACCGCCGGGGUCAACUCGGAGGAAGGUGGGGAUGACGUCAAGUCAUCAUGCCCCUUAUGUCCAGGGCUUCACGCAUGCUACAAUGGCUGGUACAGAGAGUGGCGAGCCUGUGAGGGUGAGCGAAUCUCGGAAAGCCGGUCUCAGUUCGGAUUGGGGUCUGCAACUCGACCUCAUGAAGUCGGAGUCGCUAGUAAUCGCAGAUCAGCAACGCUGCGGUGAAUACGUUCCCGGGGCU
rnacentral:rRNA from 1 species